rnacentral:rRNA from 1 species
GACGAACGCUGGCGGCGUGCUUAACACAUGCAAGUCGAACGAUGAAGAAGAGAAACGCGAACUUCGGUUCAAAUUUCACUUCGGAUUAGUGGCAGACGGGUGAGUAACGCGUGAGCAACCUACCUCUUACAAAGGGAUAGCCUCGGGAAACCGUGAUUAAUACCAUAUGACACAUUCAUAAGGCAUCUUAAGAAUGUUAAAGCUACGGCGGUAAGAGAUGGGCUCGCGUCCCAUUAGCUAGUUGGUGAGGUAACGGCCCACCAAGGCGACGAUGGGUAACCGGCCUGAGAGGGUGAACGGUCACAUUGGAACUGAGACACGGUCCAAACUUCUACGGGAAGCAGCAGUGGGGAAUAUUGCACAAUGGAGGGAACUCUGAUGCAGCGACGCCGCGUGAGCGAUGAAGGAAUUCGUUUCGUAAAGCUCUGUUCUAUGGGAAGAAAAGGACUGUACCAUAGGAGAAAGCCCCGGCUAAAUACGUG